rnacentral:lncRNA from 1 species
UGCAACAAGAAUGAGGAGCUUGCUGCUAACUACCUCUUAGACCACAUGCAUGAGUUUGAUGAAUGAUAUGGAGUUGAGGUGGCCAAACUUCCUUCCCUCUCUCCCUCCCCACGCCACCCCACCCCACCCCACCCCACCCCGGUCUCUUCACCCUCUCUUGUUUUCAUCUGUUUAACCUUUUUUUUAUUUAUCUUUUUUACCUUCUCAUCGGAGUGCAUAUACUUGUCCGGAUUUGUUUGGAGUUUUAUAAUGGUAAAUUCUGGAGAAGAUCUGAAUGUCAAGGUAUAACUUUGUGCGUCAUGUGUCCAGCAUCAUCCUCUUUCCCAAUCUCACUUCAGUUUCUAUAACAGCUGUCCAUACGUAGGUGUCUUUUGGUGGUUAUGUGCUUUUAUAUGUUCUCUGCAUGCACCAGUGUUAUCGACAUUCUGACAUCUUUAAGCAUUUUAAUGAUUGGG